rnacentral:tRNA from 1 species
GCCGGAGUAGCUCAGUGGUAGAGCGACGCAUUCGUAACGCGUAGGUCGGGAGUUCAAUCCUCCCCUCCGGCU